CCGUCCGGGGCGUGGGACGCCCCCUGCGCCGAACGGGUUGUACGGCUACGCUUGCCGCGUGCGUCCUCUCCGGGAGGGCGCAAAGCCGACAGCCGUCGCAACCACGGGAGCUCCCCAUG
rnacentral:sRNA from 1 species